rnacentral:rRNA from 1 species
CACAUGCAAGUCGAACGGUAACAGGAAGAAGCUUGCUUCUUUGCUGACGAGUGGCGGACGGGUGAGUAAUGUCUGGGAAACUGCCUGAUGGAGGGGGAUAACUACUGGAAACGGUAGCUAAUACCGCAUAACGUCGCAAGACCAAAAAGGGGGACCUUCGGGCCUCUUGCCAUCGGAUGUGCCCAGAUGGGAUUAGCUAGUAGGUGGGGUAACGGCUCACCUAGGCGACGAUCCCUAGCUGGUCUGAGAGGAUGACCAGCCACACUGGAACUGAGACACGGUCCAGACUCCUACGGGAGGCAGCAGUGGGGAAUAUUGCACAAUGGGCGCAAGCCUGAUGCAGCCAUGCCGCGUGUAUGAAGAAGGCCUUCGGGUUGUAAAGUACUUUCAGCGGGGAGGAAGGGAGUAAAGUUAAUACCUUUGCUCAUUGACGUUACCCGCAGAAGAAGCACCGGCUAACUCCGUGCCAGCAGCCGCGGUAAUACGGAGGGUGCAAGCGUUAAUCGGAAUUACUGGGCGUAAAGCGCACGCAGGCGGUUUGUUAAGUCAGAUGUGAAAUCCCCGGGCUCAACCUGGGAACUGCAUCUGAUACUGGCAAGCUUGAGUCUCGUAGAGGGGGGUAGAAUUCCAGGUGUAGCGGUGAAAUGCGUAGAGAUCUGGAGGAAUACCGGUGGCGAAGGCGGCCCCCUGGACGAAGACUGACG